AAAUUAAAAGAAACUCUCUGUUUUCCCAAAACAAAACUCCCAGCUCUGCCCUAGUUUCUAAACAUCCACACAUAUGUCGUCUGCCUAGAUCUCUAUUCACAACUCAAGAUCUGUGUUUUCUCAAAGUAAAGGUUGUGAAUUUGUUGGUUUGUGAAUCGCAGGUCUACCUAGUUUUCAACCUCGCUCGUUUGCGAAUCCCAGGUUAUGGCACCUAGUAAGCAAUGGAUGCAACUUGUUGAUACUCGACUCGAUGAAGCCUACUCAAUGGUGUUAACCUUGUGUCUUAGUAGUUGAAGUAAAAUCAACAUAUGAAAACAAAAAUGUUUUUUUCUAGAAAAGAUAGCACCUCCAAACUGGAUAAAUUUGAGAGUGUUGAUAUGAUUGAUCAUCAUGAUAUUAUAUUGGGAUGGAUGAAAGAGUUAUGGAACAAAUGGAGAGGACACUUGCAUGCUAAAUAUGUGAAGGAUAAGCUAAUCUAUCAGGCUCUUAAGAAUAUUCUAAAGGGAGUAGACAAGAAAGAAUGAGAGUGGUUAGUAAAGGAACAUUUUUCUUCAGAAAGUUUUCAGGCGAGAAGCAUCAGGAAUGCAGCAAACCGAUCUAAGUUGAAAAUGCUUCAUCAUAUUGGUAGCAAACCUAUUCGCGAGAUAAUUUAUCAAAAGGACGGAAAAGACUGCAAUCCACCAGAUUUGGCAAUAAUUAUCUUUGAGAUUGGUAAGAAAAAUAACAAGCUUGUUGAACCUAAAGCAACUGAAUAAUAUGUAUAUUCGGAAAAUUAAAUAAGUAAAUUAAUUAAAAUGAUAUGGAUUCUGGUAUAAAAUAUUUCUUCGUAUGUUUUGUAAGGUCAGAUUGAAGAAAUAGUUCAAUCGGAUCCGUCUCUACCUAGCAUAGAGAUAGUAGAAAAAUAUUGUGGACCUCAAACUUGUAGCCAUGUAUUGGCUUUGGGGGUGGAGUAACGGCGAAUGACAUGAAAGGUGGCACUUUUUCAAAGGUUGAAUUACUGUCCGCGCUGCGUUCAACUAGAGAGGAAAAUAAAUCUUUGAGUGAGGAAAACAAAUCCAUACAUGAUCACUUGUCUACCAUAGAAGAUGAGAUGAAAGAAAUGAAGAAAAUAAAGGAAUUCUUUGCUGCUCAACAAUCACAUGUCUCGCCUACGACAUCGCUCGUUUCAACUGAAUGAUCACUUUUUUUGUCUACUGAUCAAGUUUUGAAGAUUGAAGCUACAACUCAAGAUACAUGUUUAAAAGAAACACAAGCUCAUUAUUAUUUUUCUAGGAAUGUUAUGUAAAACAUGAUAUCAUAGUCUAGCUCAGGAUGUUAGCUAUCAUUUUUUGCUAAGGUGUUGAGAAAAUAUUGAAACUAAAAUCAUGGGAUAUCAACAUUGUAAUUAAUAACUUUUUAUAUAGCAAUUUGAUAUUU